rnacentral:rRNA from 1 species
AUACGGAAGGUCCGGGCGUUAUCCGGAUUUAUUGGGUUUAAAGGGAGCGCAGGCGGAGAUGCAAGCGUGACGUCAAAUUUCGGGGCUCAACCCCGUCUCGCGUCGCGAACUGCGUCCCUUGGUUGCGGGAAGGGGAGGCGGAACUCGUGGUGUAGCGGUGAAAUGCAUAGAUAUCACGAAGAACUCCGAUCGCGAAGGCAGCCUUCCGGCCCGUCAACGACGCUCAUGCUCGAAGGUGCGGGUAUCAAACAGGAUUAGAUACCCUGGUAGUCCGCACAGUAAACGAUGGACACCCGCGGUUUGGCCUAUAUGGCUGAGCCACCAAGCGAAAGCGUUAAGUGUCCCACCUGGGGAGUACGCCGGCAACGGUGAAACUCAAAUGAAUUGACGGGG